rnacentral:hammerhead_ribozyme from 1 species
AGACUGCCGAGGAGUUCCAUAAUAGGACGAAACGACCGUCCAGUGU